rnacentral:lncRNA from 1 species
AAGACCAAAGGGCUAAAGUAUCAAGAAAGUGCAUUUUGGAGCAGUUUUGGGCAUGGAAUGAAUAUCAUAUGCUUGGAGCAAGGGAGAUGGAUGGAAUUGAAGACCUAAAGAUGCUAGGAUUCCUAAUUGAAGAUGGAUUCCUAGAAGAAUGAGGAUUCCUACUCACACAAGGAUUCCUACUGGAAGAAGGAAUGUUAAGCCAACAUUUCCUACUUUGGUUUUAACCUUUCCUAAUCCUACAAGUCCCUAAAGUUUCAGCAACAAAGAAGACUCCUAAUCAUAUUAAGACACUAAAUAAGAAAUUCUAGAAGUCCUAAACACCCUUGUCGUACCUCCCUUGACCUUUUCUAUUCCUUGCCGUGCAAGGGAGAGUCUUUCUUCCCUAUUUCCUGCACCAAAUCACAUUCUCUUUCUCUCUUAAACCCAGUCGUACCUUCUUCCCUUUUCUCUCUUAAAAUCUGACAAUUAAAUGCCUCUCCCUUUCCUAUUUCCCUUUUGCCACACAUUCCUUUCCUUUUCUCUUUAAUUUCUGAUUUUUAAUUCUUGUAGGAAAAAUUAGCUAAGUCCUAACCCUUUCCUAUUAUUUUCUAAGUACCCAAACCCUUUAAAUAAAACAGCCAGCCACACCCAUAAAAAAUUAUCACCCAUUCACAUCCAUAAAAACAUUUCCAGCCAUUCUACCAUACAAAACCACCAUUCAAACCUUCACCCAACCCUUGUGCUGCAACAAAGAGAAGAAGGGGGACCUUUGGACGUACUUGCCAUUCAAGUUGGAUUGCUGGAACAUUUUUAGGUGUUUUCAUUCUUUGUUUUCAAUGUCUAAAUUUAUGUAUCUUUGUUUUGUGAGUAUGAGGAACUAAACCCCUUUUAGCUAGGGUGAAUUUCGAAACCAUGACUAUAUUUGCAAUAUGAAUUGAUUACUUCCCAUUGUAAUUCUAUGAAUCGUGAAUGCAAUUUACUUAACUGUUUGAUUGAUAACUUAUUCUUGUUUGUUGAUUAAGGGUGCACACUUAGUUUGCAUGCAAAGAUUUGAUGCUAGAAUAUAAGGGAGUUUCACAUAAUCGUUAUGAACUUAUAUUAAUAAGUAGUGAAGUUGCUAGUCACAAUCGCGUUAAGUAGAUUCCUACCAGGAGUAUCAUGUUUAUCAUAGUUACGAAUGCUUUGUCAAUACUUAUGAUUUUCAUAGAACUUAAUGAUCUUUGCUCGUAUCUCUAUUAUGCAAUUCAUGUAAGGAACUUGUGAAGAUUGCUUUGGGUUGUCGAAUGAUGUCAUCCAAUCCAAUAACUAAAGGAAAAUCUAAGGGUUAAUUUAAGCAUACCUAAUUAAUCUGGGGUGUUGAGAUUCAUGGUUUAUUGAAAAGCAACUGGAAAUCGUUUUAUAUGCAAGUGUGUCAUGUGUGGAGAAAGACCUUCUAGCUAGCCCAUCAUCCAUAGUUUUUCCCAAAUUCGUGCAAGUCUGCCUAGUUUUAGUUUCUGCUUAGUUUUACUUUAUUGAGUCUUGUGAACCUGUUUUGAGUCCUUUGAGUCUAUUCAAAUGUUUUUAACUUUGUUUUUAUGUUUUUGAGUCAGUUUAGAGGUUUUAGUAAGCCCUCCUAAUCCUCGGUUUAGAACAAUCCCUACUUGCAUUUAUACUACAAUUUGACAACAAGAGGGUUUAAUUUGAGUGCUUAUAUAUUUUCACAUCAACUAACACUCACAUAUGUAAUAAGUAAAGAAAGCACUUUCUGGAAUUAUUAAUGCAUGUAUAUAUAUGAUCUCAUGAAUGGAAUG